rnacentral:rRNA from 1 species
GACGAACGCUGGCGGCGUGCCUAAUACAUGCAAGUCGAACGCAGUGGGGACGGGUGAGUAACACGUGGGUACCCUCCCAUCAGAGGGGAUAACACUUGGUAACAGGUGCUAAACCGAUACUGAUGGAUGGACCCGCGGUGCAUUAGCUAGUGGGUGGGGUAACGGGUAACCAGGGCCACGAAGCAUAGCCGACCUGCGAGGGUGGUCGGCCACCCUGGAACGGCGCCAGCGCCCAGGGUCCUGCGAGAGGGAGCAGUAGGGAAUCGUCGGCAGUGGACGAGAGUCUGGCCGAGCAACGCGACGUGAGUGAAGGAGGUGUUGGGAGCGUAAGACUCGGUUGUGAGAGAAGCGGUAUCUAACCAGAAAGCCACGGCUAACGACGUGCCAGCAGCCGCGGUAAUAC